CAGCACCUCAAGUGGUCAGGAUGAUUAUUGGGCCUAAAGCAUCCGUAGCCUGCUUUGUUAGUUUUCGGUUAAAUCCAUACGCUCAACGUAUGGGCUGCCGGGAAUACUGCAAAGCUAGGGAGUGGGAGAGGUAGACGGUACUCGGUAGGAAGGGGUAAAAUCCUUUGAUCUAUUUAUGACCACCUGUGGCGAAGGCGGUCUACCAGAACACGUCCGACGGUGAGGGAUGAAAGCUGGGGGAGCAAACCGGAUUAGAUACCCGAGUAGUCC
rnacentral:rRNA from 1 species